AAGCCUUGUUAUCCUCCAGCCGCCUUCUCUGGGCUCUGGCCUUCCCUCAAGGCAAGAUUC
rnacentral:snoRNA from 1 species